UCCGUAGGCGGUGCGGCAAGUCGGAAGUGAAAUCUCUGGGCUUAACUCAGAGGCUGCUUCCGAAACUGCUGUGCUAGAGUGCGAGAGAGGCGAGUGGAAUUGCGGGUGUAGCGGUGAAAUGCGUAGAUAUCCGCAGGAACAUCCGAGGCGAAGGCGGCUCGCUGGAUCGCAACUGACGCUGAGGGACGAAAGCUAGGGGAGCAAACAGGAUUAGAUACCCUGGUAGUCCUAGCCCUAAACCAUCAGGACUUGGGGUUUGCCCUGUACGGGGCAAGUCCCGUAGCUAACGCGUUAAGUCCUGCGCCUGGGGAGUACGGUCGCAAGGCUGAA
rnacentral:rRNA from 1 species